rnacentral:lncRNA from 1 species
GUGCCUUGUAGAGGAAGAGGAAGAAUCAGGAGUGAAACAUGAGAAUGAGGAAGAAGAGGUGGGUUCAGGGACAAAGAGAGGUAGAGCAGCAGCAGAAGUUUCAGUUUGAGACUGAAUCUGAUCAAAGAAAAAGCUAGACAUCUUAGUUGCAGAACCUUGUUCUUCUGACUCAUUCUGCUGCUGACUUCUCCAUUGCUUCAGUUGUAAGUCCAUGGAAGAGAGAGAGAGAGAGACAGAGAAAUGUGUUGGUUGCUUUUGGGAUAAUUUUUUUCCCCACUUCUUUGUGUCUUAGAGAGAGUGGCUUAAUAAGCAAAGACAACCACAACAAAAGGCUUAUGUGUUUGGCUUGUGACCCCAACAAAAAGUAGAGUUUUUUCUCUUUGUUCUUUGCAGGUAGUUUGCUAGAGCAAGCUAGAGAAAGAUGAAAAGAGUUUUUAUUAAGGAACUUGAUAGAGAGAAAAAGACUAUGAGACAAGACAGUUGAGAGGGGAAAUAAAAUUUAGAGUAAAGAGUGUGAUUUUCUAUAAUAUCUGAAUGUGUGUUUUCAAUUAAAAACGGUUUCUUUUUUUACUAUAAAAUUUAGUAAAUCAGAAAACACAAAAAGAAAGCACUGCAAGAUGCUUGCAGAUGGAGAGAUAGUAGUACCUGCAGUGUUUAUGUUUCUCACUGCCUUGGAAAUAUCACUUCCUUUUAUAUCCCAUUUUAAUAUUCCAUAUUAAGUAGUAGCUUAAAGAGAAAAGAGAAGCCUAUUAUUUAAGAUAUUGUAAUUAAAGAUCCAUUCAAUGUGAUGUAACGUAACCUUCAAUUUAUGCACAUGUCAUUUGUUUCAGAGGUUGUGUUACAAAUGUAUUAGAUUCUGUCAUUGAUUCUGAACAUAAUCACUUUGGAUUUGACUAACUAACUCCACGGUCAACUGAUGUGCAGUGUAUGCACUGUAGACUGCAUUUGGAGAAAGCUGCAAUAUAUUUUGAUCUCUGGGUUCUAUAAUACUAGAUGUGAGUUGACUAACCAUUUUCUUUUACAACAAACUACUACAUAUAUAAGUAUUACUAUUUUAGCAUUUUUACUUGUCUAAUAAUGUUUAUCUUUCUUUUUUCUUGCAUGCAAUAUGUAGAUUUGAAUUUUAUUUUAGUGAUACAUACCACUAAACUACACAUCAACAGUAACUAUGUAUAGUUUUGGCUAAUAAGCUAUUUGCUUACUCUAAUUUGUAACCGUCGUUACUUUAUUAUUAUUCAUUAAAAAUCAUCUGUAACGUCUAUGCUUUUGGAAGUUUUUUCAUCUACUCUUUUUUAUAUGGUAAAAGUGAAACUGAAUAUUAGUAUUGUGUGGUUUCUUUUUGAAGGUGUGGUGGAUUGGUGGCGACUGGUUUGGUCUUUAAUUUCGUCUUUCCAAAAGAAGUUGGACUUGUUUUACAGGUUACAAUUUUCGUUUAGAAGACCAUUUACGAGUUAAAAUGUAAUUAGCAGUGAUUGUUUAUGGAUUUGGAACGAUUAUAAUAGAUGCAUAUAUUUCUGAUAUUAUAAAGAUAAAUUAAUACCAGAAAAGGCCAAGUAAACUGAGAAAAUUUUAUUUAAAUGAAGUAAGAUACAUGCAUUUAUAUCUUCACUUCACUGAAUAAAUACAAAAAACAUUCAUUAAUUUCAAAGUAUCUUUAUUUGGUGGUGCCAUGAUAGUAUUAUUUUAUAGUUUUGAGGCAAUAAAGUAAUAAAUAUGAGCAAAGGACGAUAACGAUAUUUCAUCAUCUAGGAGUGAGCCAGCCAAAGAUGAGAGAGAUCUUCGUAAGAGUUUCUUCAAUUCAUUCACUCCCACCAGUUUCGGCGGCAUUUAUAUGCACUAUUCCUAAAUAACCUAAACUCGGUCCAUGGAUUACGUUCGAUAUUACAUAGUUUUUUUUUUUGAACUGAUUCUUAAUAUUACAUAGUUGAGUACUUUCUUUGUGUGUAUAUGUGGAGUCAUCAUAUAUCUUUGAUAAAAUAUGGAAUCACGUGCACUACUAACUCCUCUUGGCACUUGUUCUGUCUUCACUAUAAGGAACAACAGACCAAAAAGCAUAUUGGAUAUGAAAUUUGAAACAAAAGUGUGAAAGCUUGGUGAAAACAAACAAAUCAUAGAAUAGUUUUAUAUUAUGAUGACCCAUUAAUGCAAACUACUAGACUACAUUCUUAUUUCAAGUAAAUAUUUUAUAUAUGUCUGAAUGGAUUCAGAUUUGUUGUUGUCUUUCUUUAGAGGACCAAAACUGAAAGAAGGAAGGAACAUAGACGAAUAAUGACAGUUCCAGAAAUACCUAGAGAUUGAGAAAAUUUGAGUGGACGAAGGUUGGGUCACGUGCUAAAAUUAAGACCAGAUGAGAUGAAAAGAGGGCUCGGCCCAAAACUAAUCCACCUACUUUAUUUGAAAAUCAAGCCGAGCUUGAAAACGAAAUCAGCUUUAGGAGGAGCCCUAGUUUCCGACGAGGGCGCAGACAUUGGGUCCCAUUGUAUAAUGUGAGAGACCAAAUCACCAAUUAUGUGUUGCUUUUUGUAAUUUACUUUUCUACCCACGAAAGCUACCCUCUAUUUACGCAAUUUGCCUACUAUUUACGUUUGUUUACGAUGGGCCGGGCUAUGUGUUGUUCAUGAGAUCCUGCUGGUAGAUUUUUUUCCAUAAUGGUAAGUGUGAACGAACCGCCCCGCCCCACUCUGUACCGUUGCGACUAAUAACAAAAAUCUCUACAUAUACCUAUAUAUCUAUAUAUUUUUAUUAGUAUUAUAACCACACCGCACUUGUCCCACAGUUAUCCCUGCAUUGGAGGCUAAGUCUUUUUUUUUUUUUAUUUUCACAAAAAUGAUGAUAAGUCUCUCUGUCACCCAAUUGCCAACAUUACCCCUUUCCUCACACCAUCAGUUCACAGUGGAAUAACUAUGCCCAUAUCCUAAACAACAAGAUUUUUCAUAAUUUCAACAUAUUUAUCAUUGUAUUAAAACCUUUGUCAUUAGUAUUCAGUUAUUAUGCAAAACACUUGUCUUAACUCUCAAGACUCUUGACCAAAAAGAAUAAUGGCUUCAGUUAAACUGAGUGUUUUUUUUUGUGUACCUUUGAUGACUAUUAAGGUGGAGAUGUGGAGAUGAAUGAUGUGAAGAGCCAGAGGAGAAGAAGAGAUUGUUUGGUCCAUGACCAAGCUCCUCGCCUAAGACGAAGGAAGAUGCUGCGUUUGUGGCAGCGUUUGUGGUGGCGGUUUUGGCGGUUGUUUCCACAGGCUUUCUUGAACGGUUUCGACCACGGUGGAUGUGGCGGUCGCAAUACUUGUGACCGCCUACAACAUCUCUCGAACAUCUCCAUUUCUUCCCGUCCGUUCUCUUGCACCUCCCUGGCUCAGGAUCCAUUGCUCCUCUCCCCCAAUACCCUGUGUGUUCAUUAGUAAAACAUGUUGUUACUAACAACCAACAAAAAAUCUCACUUAAGGCAGGGAUUAAGAAUGUUUCAUAAACCCCAACUUGUUUUGUUCUUCUACGUUGCUCAUAGAUCUUCUAGAAAGGUUUAAAGUCCAGGAUUGCAAAGUAGCCUUUUAAAGAUAAAAUGUAUUUACUUUAUUAUUUAGUGAGUCUAUGAAUUGGAAGUUUUAUAGAUCUUGAAAGAUUUUUCUUUCUAAAAUUAAAAGUAUAAGCAAGACAUAGAUUGAGAGAGGCUCACAAGAAGCUUGGUGAUGAGGGAAGUUAUGUUGCAGAGGAUGCUGAAGGAAGUUCAAAGGAGACUGAUGGAAGAGACUUUUCUUGAUGGGCAAGAGGAGCUCUUGAGGAACAGAAGCACCAGCUAGCAUGUAUCUGUAGAUCAGUGCUUGUAGCUCAAGUUCUUGCCACUGUGCCAAGCUAAAGAAGUUUCCCAUCUCUACAAAUUUAACAUACAACAAAUCAGUCACAACUUCAAGAUUUAAGUGAAGAAGUCUUUGCCCUUUACAAAAAAAAAAAAGGAAACACUUACUGAGGUGCCUUGUAGAGGAAGAGGAAGAAUCAGGAGUGAAACAUGAGAAUGAGGAAGAAGAGGUGGGUUCAGGGACAAAGAGAGGUAGAGCAGCAGCAGAAGUUUCAGUUUGAGACUGAAUCUGAUCAAAGAAAAAGCUAGACAUCUUAGUUGCAGAACCUUGUUCUUCUGACUCAUUCUGCUGCUGACUUCUCCAUUGCUUCAGUUGUAA